GUCAGUGUUGUCGAUGAUGUAUCUGUUAAACUGACUCAAAGUAUGAGGACACUAAGCAGUUUAUUCGUCACUACCACUGAGACAACACUUAU